GACGAACGCUGGCGGCGUGCUUAACACAUGCAAGUCGAGCGAGGCCCCUCCUUCGGGAGGGUGUCCUAGCGGCGAACGGGUGAGUAACACGUGGGCAACCUGCCCUCAGCUCUGGGAUAACUCCGGGAAACCGGGACUAAUACCGGAUACGACCUCCACGGGCAUCUGCGGAGGUGGAAAGUUUUGCGGCUGAGGAUGGGCCCGCGGCCUAUCAGCUAGUUGGUGGGGUAGUGGCCCACGAAGGCGACGACGGGUAGCCGGCCUGAGAGGGCGACCGGCAACACGGGGACUGAGAGAGGGCGCAGACUCGUACGGGAGGCAACAGUGGGGAGUAUGACGCAGUGGGGGCGAGCGUGAGGCAGAGGCGCCGCGUGAGGGACGAAGGCCUACGGGUUGUAAACCUCUUUCAGCAGGGACGAAGCGAAAGUGACGGUACCUGCAGAAGAAGCACCGGCCAACUACGUG
rnacentral:rRNA from 1 species